UCCCAUUUCUUUCUCUCACAACUCUUCUCUCUCUCUUUCUCUUCAUCUCUCACAACUCUCUCUUUUCAUCUCUCUUUCUCUUCAUCUAUUGCAACUCUCUAUCCUCUUUGCUCUUUUCUCUAUCUUCAUCCUCUCUCCUUUCUUCAUCUCUCGCUGCUCUCUUUCCCUUUUUUUCAAUCUUUGCUCCUUUCUCUCUCUUCCCUCUCCUUUCUCUCUUCCCCCACGCUCUCUUGGUCUCCUUCCUUCUCUCACUUCUCUCUCUCUCUCUCUCUCUCUCUCUCUCUCUCUCUCUCUCUCUCUCUCUCUCUCUAAUUUUUCUCUUCCUUAUUCUCUAUAUUUCUCUCUCUCGCUCUUAUUCUCUCUUUUUAAUUUUCUAACCACUCUUUUUCUCUCUUGUUUUUUCUUGCAGAUCAAGCACGAACUCGUGAAAGCGGAAAAGAGCGAGAUUCUCUCCCUUUUCCCAUUUGAUUUGGAUCCAUAGAGGAACUCCAGCCACCAACGAGCCCUUUGGACCCCCUGGUGCGACACCAAACCUAUAGAUCAGUGUCCUUCACCCUCAGGUCUCGCUGAUCAGGGUAAAGUCCGGAUGCGGAUACCACUUUUGUGCAUCAGUUGGACGUUCGGCCAACCUGACUCUCGGGACACAUCUCCAUUACCAUCCACGGUCCCUACUAGCUCACAGAAAACUCUCACAAUCCACGGUCCCCGCUGGCUCAUAGAGCGAACUCUCACCAUCCACAAUCCCCGUUGGCUCAUAGAGUAAACUCUUACCAUCCACAGGUACCGCUGGCUCCAUGAGUGUAUCUACCUGGAAUUGAAGUUUCGAUACUCUUUCUUACUUGCUGAUACCUUUCCACUGUACCAUGCCGUGGGGGCAUCCAUUCUUUAACUAUUGCUCUCACUUCAUAUUGUUCUCUUUUUUUGUUUCCCUUGAACAUCAAUUUAUAAAUUAAGGGAUGCAUUUAAUUUUCAACCACUAACCCUCUAUUAACUAUUGCUCAAUUUCCUCUGUGCAGGCGCACAAGUCUAGACUUCUGUCUUCUAUUUAUUUGCAUUUAUUUCUAUUGUAUUGUAUUUCAAUUUAUUUAUUUUUUAUAUUUUUCUUAGAUGUAUUCCUUUCUUUUUUUUCUCUCUGCUAUAUUUAUGCAAACAGUGUAAUCUUGUUAUAUUUGGCUCUUGAGAAAAUGAAAUGUCUACCCCUCCUAUCACCAUCAUCAA